GGGAGAGAGAGAGGGAGAGAGAGGGGGAGAGAGAGAGAGGGGGAGAGAGGGCUAAGUACGCACCAGCGUGGGACCCCCCCAUGUUGAAGGUCAGCAAGUGAGAGAAGGAGGGGGAAAGAGGGAGGGGAGAGAAUUUAACUUGGUUAAGCUUCUCUAGAUGACGUACAAUGGUUCCAGACACAUCCUGUCUCAGACCCUAUCUCCCCCAUGGCAGAAGGAGGGAGUGACUGGACACAGACAUUGUGGAUACAAGUAAUUGGUUAAUCACGCCAUCCCUUCACAUGGUUUACAGUAGGUAAAGACACAUAUUCACAUAUGAAGACAAAAUUCUCUCUUCCUGACCUCUUCCCUUUCUGAUAUUCUCACCAAGCUAAUUCUGAUUCUUCCACCACAUUCCCCUCUCAAGGGACGGAGUCCCUUCCGGAGACAUCAGAACAGUAACAUGAUAUCUUACUAGCAUUUGUUGCAGAGUAUAUGAAUUAUACAAAAAUAAAAUAGAGAAUCAAAUCCCUACAAUGUCGAGUACCUUAUUUCCAUGUAAGAUUCCUCCGUUGGGAAACUGAGUUCACAACCUUUAUUCCUCAAGACAUACUUACACAUGUUUAAUCAUACAGAAUAAUACAUUGCUGAGGAAAAUACAGAAAUAAGAAAUGCUACCUAAGUUACAGGAGAAUCCGUGUCUAAACACAGGCCUCAUCACCACAGAUAGGACAGUCAUCUCUCUGAACAUGCCCACAGACAUAACAGAUUGUAGAAUUAUCUGUGCAGUGUGAUUCAACAUCUGGAAGAACAAGUUCCUUCCCUAGUCAUGGGGAUAGUAGAUGGGCCGCAUCGCCCUCUUCUCUCUAGUCUUCACCCAAGGUGGGAGGGACUCCUGUCUCUAUCAUGUGACAACGUGUUAGGACUGGUAACCCAGAAGGGCCCAGCCAGAGUUUCUACACCUGAUCGUAUGUACGAAGUCGUUUCCACUUCCUUGAUUCAGCUGGACCUACAGAGGAUUGUAAGUCAGAUAUAUAAGUAGUUGAGAAAAAGUUAACAGGAAGUGAAACCAUCUGUAACACAUCUGCUGCUUUGCUGCCAAAUCAGCCACUGUGUUGCCCUUGGAGACAGGUCCAAGAGAGUUAGUAUGAGCCAAACAUUUACAUACAGCGAUUUUUAGAAGGGAGAAGAAUAGCUUUCAAAAGGUUAUCAGCAAGUUUAAAUUGAGAAAUUGUUUUCCCAGAGGACGUGAGGAACCCACGCUGUUUCCACAGGGUGAAAUCUGACCUUGGUUUUGAUACCAUGUCGAUCAGAGGUGUGCAGUCGUGGGGUCCUCCAUCCAUGUUCAGCAACAGUGUCACUGGAUUGAGCCUGAGUCAACGCAGGAGACAUACAAGCUUUCUUCUCACACACAAACAGAUGGAAAGGGUUGAGAAUGUGCACAGGGCGACCGAGACGUGGAGAAGCAGUCAUGAGUUGUUUCAGUUUCGUCAGGGCAGUCAGCCAUUCAUUUUAUUUUAUGAUUCAUAUCCAUCUUGUGACCGUAAAUGAGAUCUGAGAGAGGCUGGACAACCUUGGCCUAGUCAGGCAACCACGCCCUACUAUCAUACCAGUCAGUGACAUCAUGUGUGGUUUGGUAACCGGCUUUGGGACAGAGAUAAUAGCCUGUACUCUCUCUGGACCCCAGCUGUCUGCCAUUGGUGUGGUAUCAUGUCCUAAAAUACUUAAAUAGUUUUUAUUCAUACUUUGUGGUCCCUACCAGAAAGAUCAAAAGGUGCUUGAGUGUCAGUUUCACAUGCCUGAAGAGUACAGUAACAAGUCAACAACGUACUAUAUCAAUGUGUUCCCCCGCGGGGGGAACGAAACCCUCCAAAUGUUGUGCCAAUGCAGCUGAAAAGAUUGCAGGGGUCUCGGUGUACUUCUUUCCGGGGAACGUGAACGCAAACCAGAACUGUGACUCUGGUGCAACGGGAAUGCAAAAAAAAAAUGCAUUAGCCAAAUCAAUAACAGAAAACCAAUUAGCUGUUGCUGGGACUGCAGAUAACGUAGUUGGAUUGGGAACCACAGUGGCAAAGACAGCAUUCUUAAACGGGCCUUAAUCUUGAACUAAACGGCAAUCCCCUGAGGCUUUCCUUCAAAUCAAAUCAAAUCAAAUUUUAUUUGUCACAUACACAUGGUUAGCAGAUGUUAAUGCGAGUGUAGCGAAAUGCUGGUGCUUCUAGUUCCGACAAUGCAGUAAUAACGAGCAAGUAAUCUAACUAACAAUUCCAAAAAAACUACUGUCUUAUACACAGUGUAAGGGGAUAAAGAAUAUGUACAUAAGGAUAUAUGAAUGAGUGAUGGUACAGAGCAGCAUAGGCAAGAUACAGUAGAUGAUAUCGAGUACAGUAUAUA
ensembl:lncRNA